UUUCCGGUUGAUCCUGCCAGAGGUUACUGCUAUCGGUGUUCGCCUAAGCCAUGCGAGUCAUAUGUAGCAAUGCAUGGCGUACUGCUCAGUAACACGUGGAUAACCUGCCCUUGGGACCGGCAUAACCCCGGGAAACUGGGGAUAAUUCCGGAUAACGCAUAUUUGCUGGAAUGCUUUAUGCGUCAAAAGGAUUCGUCUGCCCAAGGAUGGGUCUGCGGCCUAUCAGGUAGUAGUGGGUGUAAUGUACCUACUAGCCAGCGACGGGUACGGGUUGUGAGAGCAAGAGCCCGGAGAUGGAUUCUGAGACAUGAAUCCAGGCCCUACGGGGCGCAGCAGGCGCGAAAACUUUACAAUGCGGGAAACCGUGAUAAGGGGACACCGAGUGCCAGCAUCAUAUGCUGGCUGUCCGGAUGUGUAAAAUACAUCCGUUAGCAAGGGCCGGGCAAGACCGGUGCCAGCCGCCGCGGUAGCACCGGCGGCCCGAGUGGUGAUCGUGAUUAUUGGGUCUAAAGGGUCCGUAGCCGGUUUGGUCAGUCCUCCGGGAAAUCUGAUAGCUCAACUAUUAGGCCUUCGGGGGAUACUGCCAGACUUGGAACCGGGAGAGGUAAGAGGUACUACAGGGGUAGGAGUGAAAUCUUGUAAUCCCUGUGGGACCACCUGUGGCGAAGGCGUCUUACCAGAACGGGUUCGACGGUGAGGGACGAAAGCUGGGGGCACGAACCGGAUUAGAUACCCGGGUAGUCCCAGCCGUAAACGAUGCUCGCUAGGUGUCAGGCAUGGCGCGACCGUGUCUGGUGCCGCAGGGAAGCCGUGAAGCGAGCCACCUGGGAAGUACGGCCGCAAGGCUGAAACUUAAAGGAAUUGGCGGGGGAGCACAACAACGGGUGGAGCCUGCGGUUUAAUUGGAUUCAACGCCGGG
rnacentral:rRNA from 1 species